GACGGGGGGGGCAAGUGUUCUUCGGAAUGACUGGGCGUAAAGGGCACGUAGGCGGUGAAUCGGGUUGAAAGUGAAAGUCGCCAAAAAGUGGCGGAAUGCUCUCGAAAUCAAUUCACUUGAGUGAGACAGAGGAGAGUGGAAUUUCGUGUGUAGGGGUGAAAUCCGUAAAUAUACGAAGGAACGCCAAAAGCGAAGGCAGCUCUCUGGGUCCCUACCGACGCUGGGGUGCGAAAGCGUGGGGAGCAAACAGG
rnacentral:rRNA from 1 species